rnacentral:rRNA from 1 species
AUUGAACGCUGGCGGCAGGCUUAACACAUGCAAGUCGAGCGAGCGGCGGACGGGUGAGUAAUGUGUGGGAAACUGCCUGAUGGAGGGGGAUAACUACUGGAAACGGUAGCUAAUACCGCAUACCAUCAGAUGUGCCCAGAUGGGUUUAGCUAGGGGGUGGGGUAAUGGCUCACCGAGGCGACGAUCCCUACCUGGUAUGAGAGGAUGACCAGCAACACUGGAACUGAGACACGGUCCAGACUCCUACGGGAGGCAGCAGUGGGGAAUAUUGCACAAUGGGCGAAAGUCUGAUGGAGCCAUGCCGCGUGUGUGAAGAAGGCUUUCGGGUUGUAAAGCACUUUCAGCGGGGAGGCGUUACUCGAAGAAGAAGCACCGGCUAACUCCGUGCCAGCAGCCGCGGUAAUAC